GUUUGAAUGAUGACUGUUUUUAAAAAAAUGUCGGAUACCCCUUCACUCCUAUUAUGAGUGAAAACAAUAGUCUGACAAAC